ACAUUUUCUUUGCAUUGUUUGCUCACCCUCUCCUUGUUUUCCGUCUUCAGAUGCUGUGAACGGAGUUGUUUUGUCCCUGCCGUCUCUGCCGCUGGAAGGUGGGAACGUGUCUCUGAGUUGCAGCUGGUCUGCGGGUUCAGAGGUCAGUGUGGUUUGGGGUAAAGGAGGCACUGCGCUUUCCUCUGACAGCCGCAUUACUAUCAGCGCUGGAUCUCUGCUCAUUAAACAGGCCAGGAGAGACGAUGCAGGAGAAUACACAUGCACCGUCAGCAACGCCGUCAGCGCUCAAACCGCCAAGACCACCCUCAGCGUCUACUAUGGUCCAGAUGCCCCACAGUUGACUAAGACCUCAAGUGAGUGUGUUGGCGGGGGAGAUGCUACGGUGGGACAGACGGUGCGUCUCACCUGUACGUCUGCCUCUCUACCUCCUGCCUCCUUCUCAUGGGAACUUAACGGCCAGCCGGUGACCACCAGCCAAUCAGGGAGUGGUGUGCUGAGUCUGCAGAUCUUCUCCUCCAAUCAGAGUGGCCGUUACACCUGCAUUGCACGGAAUGACAUCACAGGAGGGACAUCGAAGCAGCAGAUAGACAUGGCCAUUGUGGGUACGUGUCUCAGCGGAGGUGCCGUAGCAGGGAUCGUUGUUGCCUGUGUUGUUGCACUCAUCAUAAUUAUUGUUGUAAUUAUUUUGCUUCUGCGACAAAGAAACGUUGAUCGGAGACUCAGAGAUACUGUUGGACUUCAGAAGACAAACCAGAAUGAAGGAACCACAAUUGCAAACAGAGCUCUUGUCAAUGAAAACCACCGUGAUCCCACAUUACACAACUCACUCCCACAAAACUUCACUGCCGUUCCCAAUAACAACAAUGGGAACAUAAACACAAUGUCACAAAACAUGCCCAGCAACUCCAACCCACUCCAUCAUAAUGGCCAUCUGCACACCGAUGCAUUCCAACGCAACUUCAGCACAGUCCCAGACAAUGGGCAUCAAAACAAUUCAUAUCCAAACAAUGACCCUCAGAGGUCGUUCCCACAGCCUGUCCAACACAAUCCCAAUAUUCUCAUACAAACGGGCAGUUCUCAGCCUGGUGCGCUUGCCCAUACAGUUCAUGUAAACCUCAACACCUUGCCACGUACCGACCAGUUUAAUAAUUCACAACCUCAAACGGUGCAUGUCAACUUGAACACAUACCCUCCAGAAGCAAAUCAGGUGGUCCAGCAACAUGCAGACCAUGGAGAAAGUGCACUACAGAGUCAACAUACUAAUGCCAACCAUCAAAAUAAUUCUCAGACUGGCUUGCUGAACUCUGACCCUUUGAGAUUGGGUAAUCAAACACAAACAAUGCUCAAUAAUGCUUCAUCAAAUGGUUCUCGUCAGCCCAACAGCCUCAUUCAGACUGGAUACUCGCACCCUACCAACCAAACCAAUGCAAACCGCCAAACUGCCAACUCAAGAUCAUCAGCAGAAGAGCGAAGUCGACGUUCAAACCCCCUUCAGACCAACAACCAGUUCAAUGACUCCAGAGCACACCUCCAACAGAUGCCUUUGGACCGUUUGCAGGGAACGCCGGCGUAUCCCAACCCCGAAGUCUAUAGUUCAGACAGUAGUGUAUCUUCAGAUUGGCCACAACGAGAUGCACGGAGGGAUCGUUCUGGUCUGAGAUAUCGGGAAACUGAACCUUUGGGAAGGUUGACCCAAGCUGCUCCUCCCCAAAGAAGAGACCUCCAGAGACCAAUCGUGCUCAACGACUCUCAAUUGGACCCAAAUGUGCAGAGGCAAGUGGUCCAACAGAACUUAAGCACCCAACCGCAAGUCCAAUCUCAAAUCCAGACCGCAAUACCUCAAACCCAAACCUCUCAGGGUCAGACUCCAAUCCCCAUUGGUCUACCAAGGGGAACGAUCAUACCUGAAACACAAACUGGCACCAGACCAAAUCAGACCGUGCCUCAGCCAUCCAUUCCUCUCACUGAGGCUGCACUACGCCAACACACCGCCCAGACCAAUAACCCUUUCACCAACUGGAUCCAGCAGUCUCAAGCUGCCUUGCAGAACCCUGGACCUUCUCAACCCAUCCAGCAGCUUAACAAAGUGGGGCAGAUGCCUCCUACUCCACCUCCGGUGCUGCGGCCGGACGAGUUCCAGAAGCUUCCGCAUGAACGCAUGCAGCAGCCGCGCACCAUCCAGCCUGUGACCGUGCAACGUAGACACAGAUCUCCAAACGUGCACAAGCAGACUCGAGUGUUGCAUACGAGCCCUCAGCGAAUGCCAGGAGUGCAUCCCAUGCAUGCAACCAUGCAUGGACACCCAACACACAUGCGACAGGUCCACAGAGGCAGACCCAGACGUUGAGAAAAUGCAGUGCUCGUCUGGCUCGACGCUAUUUGCACUGCGAAAAACUUUCGUACACAGCACAAUGUCUCUCUGUGGUGGAAAGAAACAAACGCUCAGCCAUUCCUCCGGCCCUCGGCUUAUUGUGCCGUACAAAUCUUUGUGUUUUGUCGGAGAGACCGCAUUAUUGAUAAAAAGACUGAUCUUUUUGUUUCUCCUGCACAGCUGUCGUAGGCAUGUGAAAGCCACAGCUGUUGAACAGGACACUGUGUGAAUUUCAUCCGUCGGAACAAUGAUGCUUUGGGAUUUUUCUUGUGCUCAAGUGUCUGAAAAUAAAACACAAUGCAGUGUUUUUGCACAGACAGGAAGACUUGAACAAAAUCCAAAUGAAUUAGGAUGGCUGGCAGAGCUUGAACUACUAAAUGAUAAAGAAUGGACUGCCACUGUUUGUCCUCUUGCAACUAUUUAUUCAGCUUUCUGCUCACAGAUGCUUCUUGUAGCGCCGCUCAAUUAGUGUGAUCCGCUACGGUGCAUUUGCGGAUGGAUUACGCAUUUGAGUAUGAAGGAGACCCACCUAACGAACGUGUACUUAAUGAAGCUCUUUAAUUUUUAUGUUAAUGAUGUGGAAAAUGCUAAUGAGUUUAAGUAAAAUAGGUUGUUGACAGGCCUUGCAAAAAUAUGAUGAAAAGCAAAUGUUUGGUCAGAUGGUAUACUUUGAGGUUUUUACAAAUAAAUUCUC
rnacentral:lncRNA from 1 species